rnacentral:rRNA from 1 species
AGUGGAUGGGGAGCAACCUAGUUGUGCGUGUGUAAAGGUAGUGCCAAGAAAAGCGAUGAUCAUGUUGAAAAUCAAUUCCCGGUACCCGAAACCGACACAGGUGGGCAAGUAGAGAAUACUAAGGGGCGCGAGGUAACUCUCUCCAAGGAACUCGGCAAAAUGACCCCGUAACUUAGGGAGAAGGGGUGCCACCGAGAGGUGGUCGCAGUGAAGAGGCCCAGGCGACUGUUUAGCAAAAACAUAGGUCUCUGCAAACUCGAAAGAGGAGGUAUAGGGGCUGACGCCUGCCCAGUGCCGGAAGGUUAAAGAAGUUGGUCAGUUUUAGGAUGAAGCUAGCGACUGAAGCCCCGGUGAACGGCGGCCGUAACUAUAACGGUCCUAAGGUAGCGAAAUUCCUUGUCGGGUAAGUUCCGACCCGCACGAAAGGCGUAACGAUCUGGGCGCUGUCUCGGAGAGAGGCUCGGCGAAAUAGGAUUGUCUGUGAAGAUACGGACUACCUGCAUUUGGACAGAAAGACCCUAUGAAGCUUUACUAUAGCUUGGAAUUGUGUUCGGGCUUCCUGUGCGCAGGAUAGGUGGGAGGCGUAGAAGGUAUUCUUGUGGGGAUACUGGAGCCAACGGUGAGAUACCACUCUCAGGAGGCUAGAAUUCUAACUUAAUUAAGGACAGUUUCAGGUGGGUAGUUUGACUGGGGCGGUCGCCUCCAAAAAGGUAACGGAGGCGUACAAAGGUUCCCUCAGACUGGUUGGAAAUCAGUCGAAGAGUGCAAAGGCAGAAGGGAGCUUGACUGCGAGAAGUACAGUUCGAGCAGGGUGGAAACACGGUCUUAGUGAUCCGACGGUGCUGUGUGGAAGGGCCGUCGCUCAACGGAUAAAAGUUACUCUAGGAUAACAGGCUGAUCUCCCCCAAGAGUUCACAUCGACGGGGAGGUUUGGCACCUCGAUGUCGGCUCAUCGCAACCUGGGGCGGAAGUACGUCCCAAGGGUUGGGCUGUUCGCCCAUUAAAGCGGUACGUGAGCUGGGUUCAGAACGUCGUGAGACAGUUCGGUCCAUAUCCGAUGUAGGCGUGAGAAUAUUGAGAGGAGCCUUCCUUAGUACGAGAGGACCGGGAAGGACGCACCGCUGGUGUACCUGUUAUGAUGCCAAUUGUAAACGCAGGGUAGCCAAGUGCGGAGAGGAUAACCGCUGAAAGCAUCUAAGUGGGAAGCCCACCUCAAGAUGAGUAUUCUGGUGUAAGGUCGCGGGAAGACGACCCGUAAAUAGGCACGAGGUGGAAGUGCAGAGAUGUAUGAAGCCGAAGUGUACUAAUAGACCGUCGGCUUGACC